rnacentral:tRNA from 1 species
GCCGGGGUAGGAUAGCCCGGAAGUCCGUCGGCCUCGAGAGCCGAUGACCUAUACAGGUCGCGUGGGUUCAAAUCCCACUCCCGGCG